GACGAACGCUGGCGGCGUGCCUAACACAUGCAAGUCAACUUGACUGAAGGAGCAAUCUGACAGUAGAGUGGCGCAAGGGUGCGUAACGCGUAAGUAACUUGCCCAGGGUAAGGAAUAACGUCGAGAAAUCGGCGCUAAUACCUCAUAAUGCAGCGGAUCCGCAUGGAUAUGUUGUUAAAGGUUUACCGCCUUGGAUAGGCUUGCGUCUGAUUAGCUAGUUGGUGUGGUAACGGCACACCAAGGCUACGAUCAGUAACUGGUCUGAGAGGAUGAUCAGUCACACUGGAACUGAGACACGGUCCAGACUCCUACGGGAGGCAGCAGUGAGGAAUA
rnacentral:rRNA from 1 species